AUUGAACGCUGGCGGAAUGCUUUACACAUGCAAGUCGAACGGCAGCACGGGGGCAACCCUGGUGGCGAGUGGCGAACGGGUGAGUAAUACAUCGGAACGUGCCCGGUCGUGGGGGAUAACGUAGCGAAAGUUACGCUAAUACCGCAUACGAUCUGAGGAUGAAAUCGGGGGACCUUCGGGCCUCGCGCGAUCGGAGCGGCCGAUGUCAGAUUAGGUAGUUGGUGGGGUAAAGGCCUACAAAGCCUACGAUCUGUAGCUGGUCUGAGAGGAACACCAGCCACACUGGCACUGAGGCACGGCCCAGACUCCUACGGGAGGCAGCAGUGGGGAAUUUUGGACAAUGGGCGCAAGCCUGAUCCAGCCAUUCCGCGUGCAGGACGAAGGCCUUCGGGUUGUAAACUGCUUUUGUAUGGAACGAAAAGGCUCUGGCUAAUACCUGGGGCUCAUGACGGUACCGUAAGAAUAAGCACCGGCUAACUACGUG
rnacentral:rRNA from 1 species